UAUCAAAUAGAUGAGUUUCUUAGUGACAGACUCGGGUUGAGUAAUUUCUAGAGAAAAAAAAAUACAGGAAGUUGACUCGGGCUGUCACUCUGGGAAGAGGAGACACCAGAGCACCUCUUCCCUGCACACUGGUUGACUCACGAAAUGAAUGAGAACCAGAGCGGAGGGUAAGAGUUGCCUGCCCUCCUGACACAGCCAGUGGAAUUGCGAUGAAGCUUUGGAUGCCUCUGUCUCCCGGUCAGGAAGGGAACUUUCUCUCCGCUGGAAUCGUGACAUUAGAAGACUUUGUCUGUCUGUACCCUUCUUGGAGUAAAGCCUAGCUGUUCCCUGCCAAGAACACCCUGAGCCUGAGGUUCUGACCCUGUUUCUCUGAGAAUGACCCACCCGUGUCUCCUGUUGCUUCCAACACUCUGCAGCGAAUGUCACUGUAGCUAGUCUUCAUGCCAGGUCGAUGGAGACAGGCUUGACGAUUCUUUGCCACAAACAAGUCUCUCCUAGCUUUGACUAGCCGUCGUUGGAUGCCAGGGAAUGGAAGCUAGAAAAAAAGCCUCAUGAGCAGAAAUUUCACAAGAAAACAGCCAAAUCGUUAAGCACAGAUUCUUCACAGUGGAUUGCUGAGGAUGGGCCAUGAGCAGACAAGUGGGCAGCAAGGAUGCAGAGGCGGCAGAAGAGACUGGGGACACACGACACGGAAGACACGGAAGACACGGAAGACACAGACGACCUGGACAUCUCAUCCACAGGACACAGACCAAGACAUCUCAUCCACACGACACAGACAAC